GGGUGAAUCAGACUCAGACCCACCCGAGACAGAACCCAUAGUGUGAAAAGCCCCGAAGCACUGUUUACUGUUCCAAACCUAGCCAAACCAAAAGAGUGACAACAUACAAAACAUGUUUAAAUCACUGCUCUGCUCAGUCGGGGGACAUGAAAGUCUCGCCUGCGGACUUACAUCACCACUCACACAUGGACAUCAGAGCGACCAAAGACUCGACACGUCGGCCUUCAAAGACCCAAGACCAUAUAACUUGUGCGUUCUGCCUCAGUUGAAGAUGCUUGCACUCAAGCAAACAAACUAGCAGCUCACAGAAAACUAUCUCCGUCACAUGAUCACUCACACUCCAGUCUGAGAGCCGCAAGCUGCUGGUGAGGGAGUCACAAGAGUCCACGCAGAACUGUCGGACAUGGUUACCGUCGCUCGGUGCAUCGGAGUUCUGAAAGCUCUUGCUGUAUUCACAGUCGGGAACGUUUUGGGGAUGUACCUUGCCCAGACCUAUGAGGUUCCGAACAUCGCUCAGAAGAUCGAGGCUUUCAAGAAAGACGAGGCAAAGAAGAAGCCCCCGGAGUGAGGCUGGCGUGACCUUGAGAUCAGCAGGGAGCAAGGCUAUUUAUUUGACUAUUAAUCUAUGAGUCAUUGAAGGGGGUGGGCGUUCGAUGCUCAUACUGGGAGCUUCACCAGGCUGAGGGACGAUCACAGUCUCUUUAAAAACUGCCAAACCAGUUUGUUUGUGUCCCAUGUUAAGCAUCAAUAAAACAACUGGAGUCUGUUA